rnacentral:rRNA from 1 species
CUUGCUCCUUUGACGUUAGCGGCGGACGGGUGAGUAACACGUAGGUAACCUACCUAUAAGACUGGGAUAACUUCGGGAAACCGGAGCUAAUACCGGAUAAUAUUUCGAACCGCAUGGUUCGAUAGUGAAAGAUGGCUUUGCUAUCACUUAUAGAUGGACCUGCGCCGUAUUAGCUAGUUGGUAAGGUAACGGCUUACCAAGGCAACGAUACGUAGCCGACCUGAGAGGGUGAUCGGCCACACUGGAACUGAGACACGGUCCAGACUCCUACGGGAGGCAGCAGUAGGGAAUCUUCCGCAAUGGGCGAAAGCCUGACGGAGCAACGCCGCGUGAGUGAUGAAGGUCUUCGGAUCGUAAAACUCUGUUAUUAGGGAAGAACAAACGUGUAAGUAACUGUGCACGUCUUGACGGUACCUAAUCAGAAAGCCACGGCUAACUACGUGCCAGCAGCCGCGGUAAUACGUAGGUGGCAAGCGUUAUCCGGAAUUAUUGGGCGUAAAGCGCGCGUAGGCGGUUUUUUAAGUCUGAUG